AUAAAUCAAAAUGUAUUCUUGCCCAGAAUUGUUAAAGAUAUAUCUUAAUGAAAAAUGAAGAGAAUUUAUGUUACUCUUAGGCUGUGUACAGUGCCCUUGGUUUUACGUCAACAACCUAUCAACACCUUUGAUAGUCUAUCAAAAUAUGAAAUCAUUGUGUUAAAAGAAUUUUUAAAUACUCUUCUAAAAAAAAGGGUUGAUAAGAGAAGUGAAUAUAUGUCAAAGUAUAUUGUUCAUUAUUACACUGUAAUGAAGUCACUGUGACUUUCAACUGAAAGUUUCCAUCACUGAAAAUUCAAACUUAUCAAAUAUUUCUCCUGAAGAGUAGUUUGCUAUACUGUUAUUUAGUAUAGUUGACCUAAACUAAAUUGCAAGUCAUCCAUCUGAAGUCAAGGUCACCAGGUCAGAGGUUGAGGUCUAAUACUUGGUAUAUAAUCUACAUACUUUAUUUUAUAUUUUAACAUUAUUAUGCAAAGUCGACACUUGAUAAGUCACACAUAGUUUCGACUGCAGGUCACAAUGAUAAAGGUCAAGGUCAAAUUUUCUAGUAAAAAAGAAAUCAUAUGUUGCCAUAGGUCAGGAUUACUGGUGUGGAUUGAAUAUCAUUGUGGUUGUUUAUUUCUUAACUGUAAAUAUUUUGUGUUUAAAGAAACAUUUUCAGAAGUAUAUUUGUAAAUAAAUAAUUUGUAAACCAAAUGUCUCCAGACACAGGCAGACAGCACUUAAGGUGAUUUCAAGCGUUGAUCAGGUUUUCAUGGAAAGGAAUUUUUAAGUAACAGAUAAGAAGUGUGGAGUUGUUAUCAUGGUUGAUGUUUUUGUAGGGUUGUCGUCUUCAGUAAUUUUGUGUUAUCCUCAAAAUUUCUUUAUUUCAAACAAGCCUUUUUUUUUCCUUGAAAAGAGUAUAUUAAAUUAGAUAUUUGUGUGAAUAUCUAUUGUAUGUUAAUUACCUGUCUUCAAAAUUAUCACCCUGUUUCACCAUCAAAGGCCAGUAACUUUACAAAUAUUUCCAACGGCAAUGUUCAGUCUUUAUAACUAUUUAUGCAACAUGUCUUUUGUAUGUAAUGCAGUAGCCGUGUCUGUAUACAUAUUACAUGUAUUGACUGUAGACACCGGUUCAGUGUUGUUUAAUGAGGAUAUGUUCUGAAGUGAAAUAUCAAACACAUAGUUUGAUAAAAUUGCUAUUUAGGUGCAAACAUUCAUUUCUUUAGUGUAUGACAGGUGAGACACGUUACUUUAGUGUAUGACAGGUAAGAAACGAUCACACAUUACUUUAGUGUAUGACGGGUGAGACACGUUACUUUAGUGUAUGACAGGUAAGAAACGAUCACAUGUUACUUUAGUGUAUGACGGGUGAGACACGUUCACAUGUUACUUCAGUGUAUGACAGGUAAGAAACGAUCACACAUUACUUUAGUAUAUGACAGGUGAGACACGAUCACACGUUACUUUAGUAUAUGACAGGUGAGAAACGAUCACACGUUACUUUAGUGUAUGACAGGUAAGAAACGAUCACAUGUUACUUUAUGACAGGUAAGAAACGAUCAUACGUUACUUUAGUGUAUGACAGGUGAGACACGUUACUUUAGUAUAUGACAGGUGAGAAACGAUCACACGUUACUUUAGUGUAUGAUGGGUGAGACACGAUCAUUCAUUUAUUCAGUGUAUGACAGGUGAUACACAAUCAUGUGUCACUUCAGUGUUUGACAGGUGAGACACGAUCAUUAACUUUAGUGUAUGAUGGGUGAGACACGAUCAUUUGUUACUUUAGAAUAUAACAGGUGAGACACGAACAUGUGUUACUUCAGUGUAUGACAGGUAAGAACCGAUCAUUAACUUUAGUGUAUGAUGGGUGAGACACGAUCAUUUCUUACUUCAGUAUAUGACAGGUGAGAGCCAUUCAUUCGUUAAUUCAGUAUAUGACCGGUGAGAAACGAUCAUUCAUUAACUUAGACAAAAAAAUCUCACACAUUUAAAUCAGAUUCCAGGUUUAUAUAUAUAUACAGUCUGCUUUUCUGUAGUAUUUUUUGUCUUUGAAUUAUUAUUAUUUACCUUUGUAAAAUGAUUCAAAUUGCUCGUUAAUACUGCAUAAAAAACAUUAAACUGUU